CAUGGCAACCCCCCGUUCUGCCCGCCCCUGGAUGUCGAGGGGCUCUGGGAAGAAGAUGGAGGCCAUACCUGCAGGAGAAGAUGCCUGGGGACCUGGGAUCUUCGCUGGAGCCUGCAGGAUCCUGAUCAGAUAUGAAGAAGUCAUCAUGGCCGUCUAGGCCUGAUAGAGAAGAAAGAGAAUAAAUCCAACUGAAGAAGAUAAAACUUGUGUGCACUAGAUGUCACCUGAACUGCAGAGCACCUGGUUGGGUUCUAGUACUUGGGCAGCCGUAGAAGCAGAGAUGGCGGCGAGAGGUGAGACAUCUAGAAUCCCGUCUACCAUGAAAACGGCGGCCGGAGGAGUGGACCCGGUCCUGCUUCACGUACCAGCCAAGGGCAUCGUGUCAGCCAUUCCUCUCCUGACGCUUCUCCGCUCUUAUCUCCUCAUCAUGAGAAAAACCUAAACUCCAGAAAAGCUCGAACUUCACCAGUAGAUGGCAGCGCUACGCUUUCGGGUGGGACGAUGGCGUCCGGCGUCAACGCUUCAAAUAUUUCUGAUUAACAGAAAAAUUAAUAACAGUCAUUAUUGGCAUCUAUAAUAAACGAGCGGACGGUAAAGGCAGAAUAGAGAGAAACCCUGUGACCUGUAUAGAUAAAUACAGGGGCCAUAUUCGAAUUUGUAAUAUUUCGCGAAUAUAUUGACGAUUAUUCGUCCUAUGUUCGCGAUAUUCGCUAUAUUCCUUCACUUUUUGCUCCAUGCGAAAAUUUGCAUGGAAAAUUUGCAUAAACAUUUGCAUGUGAAAAAAAAUAUAUAUUUGUCAUUACCAAUAUAUAUAUAUAGCACUAUAUUCUAAAUAUUCCCAAAAAUUGUGAGGUGCUGAUAUUAGCGAUAACAUUCGAAUUAGGAAUAUUCGUGCUCAACACUAAUAAAUACAUGAGCGACCACCACUCUGUACAUUACGUAGACACGAUCACUUAU